AGUGAACGCUGGCGGUAGGCCUAACACAUGCAAGUCGAACGGCAGCACAGUAAGAGCUUGCUCUUACGGGUGGCGAGUGGCGGACGGGUGAGGAAUACAUCGGAAUCUACUUUUUCGUGGGGGAUAACGUAGGGAAACUUACGCUAAUACCGCAUACGACCUACGGGUGAAAGCAGGGGAUCUUCGGACCUUGCGCGAUUGAAUGAGCCGAUGUCGGAUUAGCUAGUUGGCGGGGUAAAGGCCCACCAAGGCGACGAUCCGUAGCUGGUCUGAGAGGAUGAUCAGCCACACUGGAACUGAGAAACGGUCCAGACUCCUACGGGAGGCAGCAGUGGGGAAUAUUGGACAGUGGGCGCAAGCCUGAUCCAGCCAUACCGCGUGGGUGAAGAAGGCCUUCGGGUUGUAAAGCCCUUUUGUUGGGAAAGAAAAGCAGCAGGUUAAUACCCCGCUGUUCUGACGGUACCCAAAGAAUAAGCACCGGCUAACUUCGU
rnacentral:rRNA from 1 species